rnacentral:rRNA from 1 species
AUUGAACGCUGGCGGCAGGCCUAACACAUGCAAGUCGAACGGAAACAGGAAGCGGUUUGCUGCUUCGCUGACGAGUGGCGGACGGGUGUGUCAUGUGUGGAACGCACCUUGAUGGCGGGGGAUAACUACUGGAAACGGUAGCUAUUACCGCAUAUUGUCUCAACCGCAUAGAGGGGUACUUUCAGGCGGCUUGCCUUCCACUGAGCCACGAUGGCGCUAGCCUGUUGGUGGGGUAACGGCUUACCAAGUCCACGAUCCCUAGCUGGUCUGAGAGGGUGACCAGCCACACUGGGACUGAGACACGGUCCAGACUCCUACGGGAGGCAGCAGUAGGGAAUAUUGCACAAUGGGCGCAAGCCUGAUGGAGCCACGCCGCGUGUAUGAAGAAGGCCUUCGGGUUGUAAAGUACUUUCAUCGGGGAAGAACAGAUUAAAGAUAAUACCUUCGCUUAUUGACGUUACCCACAGAAGAAGCACCGGCUAACUCCGUG